UCCGGCAGCGAUGACGCGAUGGAACCACCUGAACAUGAUUUAUCCAUUCCGAACUCAGAAGUGAAACUUCGUGGUGCCGAUGGUAGUGUAGUCUCUAUGCGAGAGUAGGAAACUGCUGGAC
rfam:Candidatus Riesia pediculischaeffi PTST contig_122, whole genome shotgun sequence.